CUGUGCUUUUUCUCCCGGCUGUCGGGGGGCCGGGACUUUCGGGGGGCGCGUGGGAGUAGGGCGGGGCCGGCGCGCGGACUGGAAAAGCGGAAGCGGGGACCGUGCGCCACCGGAAGCGGGUGUGUGGGAGGAGCCGGAGUCGUCACCGCGAACGUAUUUGCCCCGCCCUUGCCUUCACCGCUCUCAGGGUUUAAAAGGCUCCAAUUUGCCCUGAGAGCACAGCCUCUGAAAUCAAACCACUUAGACAAAAUCCUAGCUCAACCACUUAAGAUCUGAAUGCUCUCCAGCAAAUUACUUCACUUCUCUGUAAUAAUAAUGUUUACCCUGGAGGAUGAUUGUGAAGAAUAAAUGAGUUAACAUUUGCAAAGGGCUUAAAACAGAAUACUUCAUGUGCAGUUUCUGUCCUCAGUGCAUCAUAUCAGAGAACACAUCAUGUCAAUUUGGUGACGUUAACUUUGAUCAUUUGGUUCAAGUGGUAUCCACUAGACCUCUCCAUUUAUAAAGGUCCAUCUGCGCUUCACCCGCUCUGUGCCCAGGAGGCAGAACUAGACGGACUUCACCUACUGGUUGCGGUCCUCUGGCUUCCAG